UGGGGAAUAUUGCACAAUGGGCGCAAGCCUGAUGCAGCCAUGCCGCGUGUGUGAAGAAGGCCUUCGGGUUGUAAAGCACUUUCAGCGAGGAGGAAGGCAUUAAGGUUAAUAACCUUAGUGAUUGACGUUACUCGCAGAAGAAGCACCGGCUAACUCCGUGCCAGCAGCCGCGGUAAUACGGAGGGUGCAAGCGUUAAUCGGAAUUACUGGGCGUAAAGCGCACGCAGGCGGUUUGUUAAGUCAGAUGUGAAAUCCCCGAGCUUAACUUGGGAGCUGCAUUUGAAACUGGCAAGCUAGAGUCUUGUAGAGGGGGGUAGAAUUCCAGGUGUAGCGGUGAAAUGCGUAGAGAUCUGGAGGAAUACCGGUGGCGAAGGCGGCCCCCUGGACAAAGACUGACGCUCAGGUGCGAAAGCGUGGGGCAGCAAACAGGAUUAGAUACCCUGGUAGUCCAGCGCUGUAAACGAUGUCGAUUUGGAGGU
rnacentral:rRNA from 1 species